GCCAAACAGCAAAUGAAUUAUUGCAUCUCUUAUCAUGACAAAGGUCAUCAAAAUGGAAAUUCCAACUGUGGGAAAAGCAUGGGGAGAUGAACAUGCUAGUUUGGUCUCUGGAGAAUACUGAACCAAAAUGUGAGAGGCAGCAUGUUCUUCAGCUACCACAUUUCGAGAAAUCAGUCCUGAACAGCAGGAGAUUAAGUAAACUGUGGUAAGCUGGUAUUUACUGGGGUAUUAUGAACCAUUAAAAAUUAUACAUCAGAGCCAGUUGCACGCCUG
rnacentral:lncRNA from 1 species